rnacentral:RNase_MRP_RNA from 2 species
CUCCUCGCUCAACAAAUCGCUAUUCGAAGCUCACACACAGAGACGCUGUCCGCAGCGUCUCCCAUCCACAGUUGCUUUGGGAGAAAGUCCCCGGACGUCCUCCGUUCGCGCGGAGGCACGCGGAAACGCGCCGCCAUAAAGGCACAGCGGCUGACCUCGGUUUUCGCCCAGGCCCGCCCCUUGUUCCGCGCCCUGCCCUACCGCUACAUCCGCUCGUGCUGAAGCCUCGAUUUUCCCCCGCACGGCCUCUUUCUCCCGCGUCUCUCUGGCCGCCUCAUGGACGAAGAUAUGAGUCCGCGCUGGAGUGAUGUGGGUGUUGGGGAUUCACCGUCUGGGUAGGGGACGAUGCGGUUCUGGAUGGUGGGUGGACGCUGCGGUGCUUGUGGGUGCGGUGUCGGGUGCUGAGGAUUUGUUGUCGAGGUUGAUAGGUAUGCGAUUGCUCGGCAGCUAUGUCGCCGGGUUACUCGAUGGGGCUUAUUCUUGGGAUGAGGA